AUGAUACUCCUGCGGCCUCCCACAUGGUCCUGUGCAUCCCACAUGGCUCUAGGUUAUUUUGAGUCAGCCCAUCCCACGCAAAGGACUACAGUUGUCUGACACAAUGGGCAGAGAAGACCUGGACUUCCAUGAAGACUGCUUUCUGCAGACCUUGAUGGAAUGAGCUGACUCAUGCCCUGUUCAGAGACUCAUUAGCACUGGACCACGUACUGGCUUGAUUUUCUUUGAAAGACUACUUCUGUACCUGAUGUCAGAAAUGUUGCAGGCUCAGGAAGAAUGAUUGUCCUUGCACAUCAAUUUUGCCACUACUCUAAUCUAGCAGGUUUUGUUCAGCCUGAUCUUAAUGAUUCGGACUUGAAAUUUCAUCAGCAGAGGAAACAGAAAAGAACAUUCAAGUAUAAAACCAGUUUCAGAUUGGCUGUUCUUUGAGCUAA